rnacentral:rRNA from 1 species
UACGGAGGGUGCAAGCGUUAUCCGGAUUUACUGGGUUUAAAGGGUGCGUAGGUUGGUCUGUAAGUCCGUGGUGAAAUCUCCGGGCUUAACUCGGAAACUGCCAUUGAUACUAUAGGUCUUGAAUUAUCUGGAGGUGAGCGGAAUAUGUCAUGUAGCGGUGAAAUGCUUAGAUAUGACAUAGAACACCAAUUGCGAAGGCAGCUCACUACGGAUAUAUUGACACUGAGGCACGAAAGCGUGGGGAUCAAACAGG